UAUUUUAAAGAGAGUUUGAUCCUGGCUCAGGACGAACGCUGGCGGCGUGCCUAAUACAUGCAAGUCGAACGAACGGAGGAAGAGCUUGCUCUUCCAAAGUUAGUGGCGGACGGGGGAGUAACACGUGGGCAACCUGCCUGUAAGUUGGGGAUAACUCCGGGAAACCGGGGCUAAUACCGAAUGAUAGAAUGUGGCGCAUGCCACGCUUUUGAAAGAUGGUUUCGGCUAUCGCUUACAGAUGGGCCCGCGGUGC
rnacentral:rRNA from 1 species